rnacentral:rRNA from 1 species
AACAGGAUUAGAUAGCCUGGUAGUCCACGCCGUAAACGAUGUCGACUUGGAGGUUGUUCCCUUGAGGAGUGGCUUCCGGAGCUAACGCGUUAAGUCGACCGCCUGGGGAGUACGGCCGCAAGGUUAAAACUCAAAUGAAUUGACGGGGGCCCGCACAAGCGGUGGAGCAUGUGGUUUAAUUCGAUGCAACGCGAAGAACCUUACCUACUCUUGACAUCCAGCGAACUUAGCAGAGAUGCUUUGGUGCCUUCGGGAACGCUGAGACAGGUGCUGCAUGGCUGUCGUCAGCUCGUGUUGUGAAAUGUUGGGUUAAGUCCCGCAACGAGCGCAACCCUUAUCCUUUGUUGCCAGCGAUUCGGUCGGGAACUCAAAGGAGACUGCCGGUGAUAAACCGGAGGAAGGUGGGGAUGACGUCAAGUCAUCAUGGCCCUUACGAGUAGGGCUACACACGUGCUACAAUGGCGCAUACAAAGAGAAGCGACCUCGCGAGAGCAAGCGGACCUCACAAAGUGCGUCGUAGUCCGGAUCGGAGUCUGCAACUCGACUCCGUGAAGUCGGAAUCGCUAGUAAUCGUGGAUCAGAAUGCCACGGUGAAUACGUUCCCGGGUCUUGUACACACCG